rnacentral:lncRNA from 1 species
CGUGUUGCUUAUUCUUUAGUUUUCUAUGUUGUGUCAUGUGUACUAUUGUGUGUUUGUUUGUCUUUUUGUCGAGCCUUCGACUUUAUUCGAAAAAGCGAGACUAAGCGAUCCUACAUUCCGUCGUCGUCGGUGUCGUCGUCGGCGGCGGCGUCCACAAAUAUUCACUCUGUGGUUAAAGUUUUUGAAAUUUGAAUAACUUUCUCAAACGAUCCUGGAUUUCUACCAAAAUUGGUCAAAAGCUUGUUUAUGAUCAAAAGAUAGUAUCCAGAAGUAAAUUUUGUAAAAAUAAAAUUCCAUUUUUCCGUAUUUUACUUAUAAAUGGACUUAGUUUUUCUGCCGGGAAAUAUUA